CAUCUUUACCAUCAUUUACUAGGUCCUCUCACCUUAAAUUAACAAGGAGAAGAUGAGAAAUGCUCAUCUCUUGCACUUACCGUUCAAGUUAUUAACUGUAUUAUUGAUGGUUAAUUGCUUUGAUUGUUGAUUGAAAGGAAAAUCUGUUUUUACCAUUUUUGGUUACUCUUUGUUUUGAUUUUAGCGCUUCAAUUUUUAACCAAAUUAUUGUUAUGGUGAUGGUCAAAGAGUAACAGUUCAACUUGUAAAACAAGUGUCAUUUGUAUUUUUAAUUUGUACUUAUUAGUAUUUAUAUUUAAUUGUUUCAUCUUUUUAAUUUGUUAAUUACUUAAUUUAAUUGUUGGACAAUUGAUUGGUAUUGCCUUUGGCUGGACAACUUGUUUGGUUAACUGUUGUAGAUUUGUUUGUUUGCUGCUAUUGGUUUUUUUUCCUGUAUUAUUCCUUACUGCUUUGGGCAAUUGAAAGAUUGUUUUCAAAUAAAACUAAACGUUUUGGCUCAUUAUCAUCACAUCAACCGUUUCAUUGAAAGGAUAAGGCUAAUUAGAAGCUAUUAUUUGUCCAUAAACAUUCAAUUAAAACCAAAAAUGUGUGCAUAUUGAUUAGCCUGGAGUGAAUCUUGAAGAUUGUUUACUACACCAGUUGAU